GUGCCAGCCAUCGCGGUUAUACCCUCAGCCUUAGAUUGAUUAUGGGCUAAUUUUAAUAUUUAGUUUCUAGAGAGCAUUAGGUGCAAUUUUUCUCUACAUAGGACUCAGAACUAAAUUGUUAAACAUAGUAUAUUAUAGAUCGAAACCUGGAUUAGAGACCCAGUUAUUCUAUUAAAAAAAUAAAAUUAGCCGGGGUAGUACAAAUGGAAAUCCAAAAAGUUUGGCGGUGUAACGAACAGAAUAGGGGAACUUGUCUUUUAAUAGAUAUUACACUAAAUACCUCACCUUAAAUGUUGAUUUGUAUAUCGCUGUGGUAACUUGACCUUUGUGGGCAUAAAUUCAAGAAUCCAAAUAAUGGAAAAACUCAAGUCAAGAUACAGUCUUUUUAAGGGUAGGAUGAGUUACUAUUGUAAAAUUUCAAAGGACUAAAAGAUAAAACCUUUUAAGAAAAAGGACUUAUAAGUAAAAUCUUUAAUAUAGAAGACUUGAAAAUGAUAAGUUAUGUGCACAUAUCGCCCGUCACUCUUGGCGAAAGCUAAGAUAAGUCGUAACAUAGUAGGGGUAACAA
rnacentral:rRNA from 1 species